AGUGAACGCUGGCGGUAGGCCUAACACAUGCAAGUCGAACGGCAGCACAGUAAGAGCUUGCUCUUACGGGUGGCGAGUGGCGGACGGGUGAGGAAUACAUCGGAAUCUACUUUUUCGUGGGGGAUAACGUAGGGAAACUUACGCUAAUACCGCAUACGACCUACGGGUGAAAGCAUGGGAUCUUCGGACCUUGCGCGAUUGAAUGAGCCGAUGUCGGAUUAGCUAGUUGGCGGGGUAAAGGCCCACCAAGGCGACGAUCCGUAGCUGGUCUGAGAGGAUGAUCAGCCACACUGGAACUGAGGCACGGUCCAGACUCCUACGGGAGGCAGCAGUGGGGAAUAUUGGACAAUGGGCGCAAGCCUGAUCCAGCCAUACCGCGUGGGUGAAGAAGGCCUUCGGGUUGUAAAGCCCUUUUGUUGGGAAAGAAAAGCAGCAGGUUAAUACCCCGCUGUUCUGACGGUACCCAAAGAAUAAGCACCGGCUAACUUCGUG
rnacentral:rRNA from 1 species